AUUUCCUCCUUCCCUGCCGGUUUCUCCCCUCUACCCUGGCACCCCAAAUUUCGAUGUGUCGCCUGCCGGGCGCUAAGCGCCGGUGUUGAGAGGCAGCGGCCGCCGCGCCCGGGAAAAUGCUGGGCAUGUACGUGCCGGACAGGUUCUCCCUGAAGUCCUCCCGGGUUCAGGACGGGAUGGGGCUCUACACGGCCCGCAGAGUGCGAAAGGGUGAAAAGUUCGGACCCUUUGCUGGAGAGAAGAGAAUGCCUGAAGACUUGGAUGAAAAUAUGGAUUACAGGUUGAUGUGGGAGGGUCUUGCUCUGUCGCCCAGACUGGAGUGCAGUGGUGUGAUCUCAGCUCACUGCAGCCUCUGCCUCCCGAGUUCAAGCAAUUCUCCUGCCUCAGCCUCCUGAGUAGCUGGGAUCACAAGCAUGUGCCACCACGCCUGGCUAAGUUUUGUAUUUUUAGUAGAGAUGGGGUUUCACCAUGUUGGACAGGCUGGUCUUGAACUCCUGGCCUCAAAUAAUCUGCCCACCUCGGCCUCUCAAAAUGCUGGCAUUACAGGCAUGAAUCACCAUGCCUGGCCGGGUAGA
rnacentral:sRNA from 1 species